ACUAGUUCUGACCCCUUAAAAUGGAAGAGCUAUUUGCUAGAAGGGGCUUGUAAAUCACAGCAGUUACAGGAGACAUGUUUAGAAUUCAGAGUCAACAGAGAGAGAUUAGCAUAGACAGCAAUGCAAACAGUGUUUCCAUUUUUUUGUUCAUCUUCUUUAUAUCAACACAGAGAAGACUGGGAAUGAAAGGCAAGAAGCUCCAGAAAGAAUCUGGAGAAAUUUACAGAAGAAAGAGAACCAAUAACCAUGCCCCAGGUAUAAAGAACACAAACAUCUAGGUUUGGAUGUUGACAUAUAUAUACUUUACACAUCUUGCAUCUUUUAAUCCUCAAAACGACCCUGCCGAAUAGAUGCGUGUUUUCCCAUUUAUCGACCAGAAAAUUUAAACUCAAGAUACUUUCCUGAGUGAACUUUUGGUGUCCCCUUUCAUAAUAUAAGCUCCAGAAAGCGGAAGUUCAAUUAAACCAGAAAAACCUGUUUAAUUGAAGCCAACCAUUGUUUAUUGAACACUGAUUGGUGGAAAGCACUGUGAUCGAAAACAGACACAUAGAAAAUAAUGAAGUGGCUUAAAAAAUUCUUUCUUGGAUAAUGAAAAACCUGUAUCAUAUAGAAGAAUAGAAGACUGCUUCCAAACAUCCUCUGACUUGGAAGACAGUUACACAUUUGUCUGUUACGUAUUUCUCAUCCAGAAGCAAAUAUUAACCAGUCAACAUCGAAUGCCAUUUGAUUUCAUCCCCUUUGGCUUGGAAAACCUAUGACUACCCACACUCAGGGGCCAUCGGCAUGGAAAGUAUUAGUUCCUGUGCAGCCCAGGAGCUCUAUAGGAAGCGGUGGAAUCCCAAAGGUGGGUUGAAAGGUUCAAAUCAUAGCCAAGAAAAAUAACUUCAGUCACUGUCAACGGUCAAUAUCAUUUAAAUCUCUAGAAAUCUUAUGAAAAAAAGAUAAAAAUUAAAAAUAAUGGCUUUCUUUAGGGUCCUUCCCACAGCAAUGAUUCAGAAUACUACAUUUUUAGACAGGGGAGGAGAAAAUCAUAAUGCCCGGUAGAGGGGAGAUGUAAUUUUAUUAUCUGGCAAGAUAGCGGCUUCAUCAUUAAAAAAUUCAACCAACUAGAAUACAGCGUCCUUUGACCUAGCAGAUAAAAGGUCAGACAGCAAUUUUGAAUAAUAAAUGAGACCUGUUGACCUGAUGACCCAAAUCUGGCAGGGUGAGUGUUUCCUCUUUCACAGAUGCAGACACACACACCAAGACAGCUCAGCUAAUGAGCUGCCUCAACCCAGGUUGUGGGUGCUGCAGUGUUUUCGUGUUAUGUAGCACGGGGAGAACAAAUUUCUGAAGCUGUUGUGUCAUGUAAAGUGAUAUUUAUAGAAAUAUUUCUAUUGUGGCUUUUAAGGAGACUCUUUCCUGAGUUCCCAAUGUUUCUAUUUAGUUGUUGAAUUGAGUAGAAACCUAAACAUUGGUCAAGGUAUUUCUUCCACCUCUGAUUUCCUUUAUUAUUUUAGCACUGGCAAAGAAGAAAGGAAAUGCUAUAUGCAUUUCACUUAUAUUAACAGCAAGGUGAUUUUAUGAGAAUUUUCUAAAAAUGGGAAUGAACCUAAAUGUGACUCUUUCACUUCAUUUUGGUGCAAAUAGUCCUUGUAUUUAGAUAACGGAUGUAGAAGUACAAGGUAUUAAGCUAUAUGGAUAUUUGUGACAUAGUAAUUAGUUUAAAUGUUUAACUUUAUUUGAGUAACACAGUGAUGUAAUUUGAAACCUUAAAAAUUUCCAACUAAAAUGAAAACAGAAAUAUGGCUUUAAACUAAACUAUCCAUCCCUACAAUUUUAAUCCUUAAAAUUUUCAUUAUUGCUUUUGGAAAAUAACAGCUGUUACAAAGUAAACUUGGUAAAUGUUUACAUUCUUUUUGAUAAAUAUCCUAUAAUAUGUCUA
rnacentral:lncRNA from 1 species